AGACGUCUACAUUAGAUACCCCGGUAGUCCCAGCCGUAAACUAUGCGCGUUAGGUGUAUCGGUGACCACGAGUCACCGAGGUGCCGAAGGGAAACCGUGAAACGUGCCGCCUGGGAAGUACGGUCGCGAGGCUGAAACUUAAAGGAAUUGGCGGGGAGCACCACAACGGGUGGAGCCUGCGGUUUAAUUGGACUCAACGCCGGGAAGCUCACCGGAUAAGACAGCGGAAUGAUUGCCGGGCUGAAGACUCUGCAUGACUAGCUG
rnacentral:rRNA from 1 species